UCUGUCUCACUAUUCAAGUUCUGGUUCCUAGCUGAGCUGAUGAAGAGUCCUCCAAGAAGUGUGGUAGAGAAACAUACAUCAUGUAUGUGGUAAAAGAACACACAUCACAUAUUGGGUAUAACACUCUCUUCAGUGAAAGGCGUCAUCAGAGGUGUCCAGACAGAUCAGCUCACCUUGUCAUCUAAGAACUUCAGAGAGCUGUAGGACUCCUGUGAAGAUGGAAGUUAUUACUGCAAGCUAACAACCACAACAUCUGUUAACCACUGGAUAAAAUUAAGAGUUGGCGAGGGCCACUGGGUCUGAACAGAUUAUUUUCCUAGUAGGAGGGUUACCCUUCUGAUUAACACCCUUGCAACCCGAUUAACUUUGGGCAUGAUGUUUACAGAAUUCCGUCACUGGCCUUGAAAUGAGAAUCUUACUUGCAGAGAUUCCUCCAAGCCUGUUGUUUUACUUUUCCCUGGAACCUGAGACCCUCACAAAGGCAGCCUGGCCCACCUAUUGUCUGAAAACAACAGGAUCUUCCCAAGGAUAGUA